rnacentral:rRNA from 1 species
GCUCAACCGAGGAAGUGCUUCGAAAACUGGUAAACUUGAGUGCAGAAGAGGAAAGUGGAACUCCAUGUGUAGCGGUGGAAUGCGUAGAUAUAUGGAAGAACACCAGUGGCGAAGGCGGCUUUCUGGUCUGUAACUGACGCUGAGAUUCGAAAGCAUGGGUAGCAAACAGGAUUAGAUACCCUGGUAGUCCAUGCCGUAAACGAUGAGUGCUAAGUGUUGGAGGGUUUCCGCCCUUCAGUGCUGCAGCUAACGCAUUAAGCACUCCGCCUGGGGAGUUCGACCGCAAGGUUGAAACUCAAAGGAAUUGACGGGGGCCCGCACAAGCGGUGGAGCAUGUGGUUUAAUUCGAAGCAUCGCGAAGAACCUUACCAGGUCUUGACAUACCAUGAAAAGCUUAGAGAUAAGUCUUUCCCUUCGGGGACAUGGAUACAGGUGGUGCAUGGUUGUCGUCAGCUCGUGUCGUGAGAUGUUGGGCUAAGUCCCGCAACGAGCGCAACCCUUAUUAUCAGUUGCCAGCAUUCAGUUGGGCACUCUGGUGAGACUGCCGGUGACAAACCGGAGGAAGGUGGGGACGACGUCAAAUCAUCAUGCCCCUUAUGACCUGGGCUACACACGUGCUACAAUGGUCGGUACAACG